rfam:Fibulorhizoctonia sp. CBS 109695 unplaced genomic scaffold FIBSPscaffold_41, whole genome shotgun sequence.
GGCCUGAUGGUCUAGUAGUAUGAUUCCUUGUUAGGGUUAACAUCCAAAUUCGAGGAGGUCCAGGGUUCAAUUCCCUGUCAGGCCC